rnacentral:rRNA from 1 species
UACGGAGGGUGCGAGCGUUGUCCGGAAUCACUGGGCGUAAAGGGCGCGUAGGCGGCGCGGGAAGUCCGUGGUGAAAGCCCGAGGCUCAACUUCGGGUCGGCCAUGGAUACUCCUGGGCUUGAGCACUGUAGAGGCAGGUGGAAUUCCGGGUGUAGCGGUGGAAUGCGUAGAGAUCCGGAAGAACACCGGUGGCGAAGGCGGCCUGCUGGGCAGUAGCUGACGCUGAGGCGCGAAAGCCAGGGGAGGCGGAAACGGGGAUUAGAA